GGAGGAGCCUGAGGUCUUCGACCAGAACUACUCAGCGGCAGCUUCCUUCGAAGACGUGGGGGAGCCCGCGAUCGACCGCGACGGAGCUGUUCAACCACCAGGCGGACCGCUCCCCCCGCCGCGGCGCCGGCCCUGCUGGACAAUGUCCUCCUCAAGCUGCUGGCCGGGGCCGGGGCUUCCGAGACGGGCCCCACACGGACACACCGGCGAACACCCUGUAUGAGUACGCGCAGCUCCCGCCGCCUCCGCACUCCCUCCCCCCUCCUCCGCCUCCGCUCCCCCCCNNNNNNNNNNNNNNNNNNNNNNNNNNNNNNNNNNNNNNNNNNNNNNNNNNNNNNNNNNNNNCCCCCCCCCCCGCCUCCGCUCUCCCCCCUCCUCCACCUCCGCUCUCCCCACUCCACCGCCUCCUGCUUCUUUGGCUUCUUGUUUUAAUGGCAAAUUGUUUUAGGCAGCGCUUGCUGUGAACAGUUCUACCUAAAGGGCUCCCUCCUGCCUCAUAUCCUACCUUUUGCAGGGGCCCUAAAGGACAUGUCCUCGUCCUCAGCUUGCUCUUUGGAAUGGCUUUCCUGUCCAGCUCUGUUUCCAUCUUGACGGUCAAAGAGAGGCGCCUCCAGCAGGUCCGGUUCAUCGGUGGCCUGUACGUGGCUACAUUCUGGCUCUCCGCGCUGCUGUGGGACCUCCUGUCCUUCCUCGUCGCCACUCUGCUGCUGCUGAUGAGCCGCGUGGUGCUGGGGCCCUUCCCCUACACCGCACGGGGUGGGCGGUGGGGGGGGGGCUGGCCCUGGGCCCCCGCAAAGAAGCAGAACUCAAGCUGAAGCCUGGCCGGCAGCUCCGUCCCCUAUUGGCAGCCGAUGUGAAAGCACCUUUAUUGCUCCAGCAUCAGGAGGCUCAGAGGGGCCUGCUUUAGGGUCUCUUAGCUGUGGCUUCCCCAGAACUGCUGUGACAAGCUGGUAAAAGACAGUGCCCUGGGGACACGGGUUUCUAGUCCAGAAAUCGCUCCCAGGGACCUGAGGGGGCAAGUCUUGGGUGGUGACUGAGCUGUGGGGCUCCAGGGUCCCUGCUUCAUUUGCGAAGAACAGGUCACACACGUCCUCCUUUUUCCCGCCUGUGUGUUUUGUAGACGUCUCUGAGCCCCUGACCUCCCUGCACUGGCUGCCAGGGGCAGAGCCAGCUAUCUCUGCACUGCUGGACAAGCAAGUGGAGGGAGCUGCCUGUGGAGUACUGCUAACACAUUAUUUAACUGAUUUUAUUUUAUUUUAUUUUUCUUUUUAGGGCCGCACCCAAGACAUACGAAAGUUCCCAGACUGGGAUCCAAUCAGAGCUACAGCUGCCGGCCUAUGCCAUGGCCACAGCAACGCUAGAUCCUUAACCCUCUGAGCGAGGCCAGAGCUCGAACCCGCAACCUCAUGGUUCCUGGUCGGAUUUGUUUCCACUGAGCCACAUUGGGAACUCCUACCUGAUUUUAAACUUAAAAUGAUCUUAUCCUUUCUCUAGUGCUUAAAACAGAUGUCUCCUAAUUCUGCCCCUCUCCCCCAAGGUGGUGUUUUUGUGCUACAAGGAAGAGGCAUUUAUACAGCAGGAAAGCGUCCCAGCUGUUACCUUGAUGCUAAUGCUUUGUGCCUGGGCUCCCAUCCCCUCCAUCUGCUUGAGCAGCUUCUGCUUCGACCACCCGGGGAGCACCUGUGCUGAGCUCAUUGUCACGCUCACCUUCUCUCUCGAGCACUGGCUCCCUUGUUCUCGUCACCGUCACAAGUGAAAAAGAUCUAGGCUACACGGUCGUCUCAGAGUCCUUGGACCACACGUUCCUACGGCUUCCAGGCCACUGCCUGGGCAUGGCUUUCUCCAACUUAUGUUAUAACUUUGAACUACGCAAGUUUUGCAGUGCCAAGAGCCUGAACCAGACUGAGUGCAGUCAAGUUUGUGAGUAUCACAGAUAGAAUUUGUUCAUUCCAUUUUUCAUUGAGCUGUAAUUCACCCUUUUAAGGUGUACAAUUCGCUGGGUUUGGGUAGAUCCCCAAGGUUGUCCAACCGCCGCCACCAUCUAAUUCCAGAAUGUCUUCAUCCCCCCCCAAAAGAAAUACUCUGUCCAUCAACAGUCACUCCCAAGUCCUUUUUCCCCAAAGCCCCUGACAACCAAUAAGCUCCUUCCUGUCUCUGUGGAUUAGCCCGUUCUGGACGGUUCGUGGACGUGGAAUCUGGCUGCCUCCGUCUGCGUUUUGACUUUUAGGAAUAACUCUGUUGUGGACAUUGACAUACGGGUUUUUGCGUGAAGCUAUUUUCAGCGCUCUCAGGUGUCCAGCUAGGAGUGGGUGCGCUGGUCUCACGGUGACUCGAUGUUUAGCUUUUUGAGGAAACACCAAACUAUUUACCACGGCGGCUGCCCCGUUUUGCAUUUUACCAGCCAUACGGGAGAGCCCCAGUUUGUCCACCUCCUUUCGAACAUCUUUUAAAAUUAGUUUUUUCCUUAAACUGCGGUAAAAUUUCUCUUACCAUUUUGACCACUUUAAAGCGUUCAGGAGUGCCUGUCGUGGCUCACCAGUGACAAUCCCAACUAGGAACCAUGAGGUUGCAGGUUCAAUCCCUGGCCUUGCUCCGUGGGUUAAGGAUCCGGCAUUGCCCUGAGCUGUGGUGUAGGUCAAAAAGACGCGGCUCGGAUCCCGCAUUACUGUGGCCGUGGUCCAGGCCGGCAGCUACAGCUCCCAUUGGACCCCUAGCCUGGCAACUUCCAUAUGCCAGGAGUGCGGCCCUUAAAAAAAGACAAAAAAAAGUGUACAGUUCGGUGGCAUUAGGUGGAUUCACACUGUCGCACACCCACCGCCACCAUCAUCUUGCAAGAUAGAAAGUGAACUGUGGCUGCCUCCCCAUGUCCCCACGCCAGCCCCAGGCAGCCAGCCCUCCUCUUCCUGUCGCCGAGUCUGACUGCUGCGGGCACCUCACACGAGUCGGGGUUGUACGAGGAAGUUACCUAAUGUGUGUAAAGCAUGAGGAGAAGCUUGGAAAGUCACCUAAAGUUGGAUGGCCCUUGUUUAUCCCGCUCUAGUAGAGGGGUACGUGGUCCGAGAGCAUCUACGCCUGCGAGCCCCUCGGGACGGGCCGGCGCCUGACCGCCCUCGCCCUCUCAGGACCUGUGUCCGCAUCCCGCUUCGCCUCCUUGAAACCAGUGGCCUGUGGGAACUGGAAGCCAGGUUCUGUGGCUUCCACAGGGAGCACACGUGGUGAGUGGGUCCAAGUGUAAGUCUCUGAGGACAGGUCAAGGGAAGCUGCACGGCUUCCUUCCUGCAGUCUGCAGGGGCCUGGAGACCUUCUAACCCAGCCUCAGGGCAGAGAGGGGACUGCUGUCCCCAGGACCCCGGGGACCCGAUGGGAGAAAGGCGAGGCGUGUGGGCCAGGUCAGCUGAGAAGAAACAAGACUCUAAGACAAAAAAAAAAAAAAAAAAA
rnacentral:lncRNA from 1 species